GAAAUUGUGGAGAUGUUUUCUCUGGGAUUCAAAUAUCCACUCAAACCCAGACAUAUGGAAAGCUGUCGCUUGUCUGAUGAGUUUUAAAGUUAAUUAUAUUUGUGUAUCCCAGGGGAAACUUCACUCCACAGAUGCCAGCAGAUUCCUUUAAAUGGGACUCGGAGGUUGUCAUGUGCACUUUGAAAGCCUGUGUGACCCCCUUACACCCAGCUGGCUUGUUAAAGCCUAGAAUCGGAGUCCUACAUCCUUGUGUACUCUCUGGUAAGUGUCAGAGGCAUGGACAAGUGAAACACGUGAAGAAUGCCAAAGAGAGAAACAGUGUUCUCAGAUUCCAGAAAAUUCAGAGGCAGAAUCGGUGCUUGUACCAACAACCAGAAUGUACAGCGGUUUCUGUGGCUCCUGGACUUCUAAAGAAACUGGGGAGGAAAAGCUGCUAAUUGUUUCCUCAGGCUUGUUUAACAGAGUUGAGAAAGGGUCAACCAACACUGAUGUUUGACAGAGUCCUUUGAAAAAGAGUGACACCUUCGACACUUUCCUGGUUUUCAAAUAAACACACAACACCCGAUUCAACAUUAAUCAUUUUCUCUAAAAUUAAUUUGAAGAUUUGCUGUGGAAUAUCAAGAAUUAAAAAAAAAGCAAUCAUGAUUAUUAUUAGGUUUAGAGGAUGACAAAAGCAUCCUUAACCCACAAAACUGUAUUUAAAACCAGGGAAAAUGCACAGGUAACAGUAUAUUUUCUGCGUGUUUAAUAUCUUAUUUCCCCCAAUUCUUUCAUCAGCACAGUAAUUUUCAAUAAUCCUGUUUGUGUUGUUUCUGGUUUCUUAAAAUACAUACACAUGGGGGAAAGUAAGUAACUCAUUUAAGAUGUGACCAGCAGUACUUAUUAAACUGUUUUUGGGAUUUGGGUUUAAAUUGAAUAAUGUUUUGUGUGUGUGCUUGCACAUGUGUGUUGUAAAAAAAAAAAAAAAAACCAGGUUGCUGCAAAGUGUUUUCACUGUGAGUGCCGGGUUUCAGCUAUUAGCAUAAGAAAAAAAGUUUUAGUGUGCUUGCCAUUGUCUUGAAUGAAGAGUUCAGCAAAGGGAAGGAAAGCCGAAAAAGGGUGAUGGUCCAUUGAGAUUCUUCAGCAGCCCCGAGCUCGUCAUCUGUCUCUGAAAUCUGUGAUCGGAUAUCACUUUUAUCUCGCUUUUCCAUUCUCUGGCCUUUUUCACACAUUCACUUUUGUCAAAGUUUAUUGAUUAUGUUUUCUUCUCUUCAAAUCUGUGGAAAAUUUAAUGAACCAAAAACAGCAGUGAAAUAAAGGGGACUUUUUUAUUCAUUAGCACGGGAUUGGGAUUGAUUUCCCCUCUUUCGGCAGCCGAGGGCCCCAGGCCUCCUGCAGGCAGCGAGGGGGAGGAGGGAGGGUGGCCCUGCUGCAGGCUGAGGCGGGGACUCCACAGGCCUGUGGCCUCCAGGCUGAGCACCCGCGCAGCCCUGAACUCCUGUCCCAAGUGAACUCUGAAAGCUUGUCCGCGAUGGCUGUGCGGGUUGAGCCUGAAUGCAACCACGCCGCAGCCCCCACACACCAUGUUCUCCUGCGUCCUGGCUCAGUGGGCUUGGGGUGAAGUGGGGGCGGGGGGGUGUUUGUAUUUCUCGGACUUACAAACCAUUUGAGUGCUGGGCCUUCCCUGGGACACAGUUAAGUAUCUCCCUUCCUCCAGACCCAGCUCAAACCUGUAAUUAAGCAAAGCCCCUGAUGUGAUUACGCUUUGCUGACUCGGCGGGGUUUGGAGCCAUUCCCUCUAGGAAACGGUGAACUCUUGCUCUUCCCAGAGGCUUCCUGGGCAGCUUGUGGUGCACGUCUAUUGUACACAUGUCCCCUGUAUUCCUCUCUCUUCCUCUCCCUUCAGCCAUCCGUCCUUUCUUUCUUUUUCUUUCUGCUUCCCCCUUUCUCUCAUUUGUCCCGCCCCAAUCCCCGCUUCUCUCUUGGUCUCUCUCUCGGUUCUCUCUCCCCGUCUCCUUUCUCACCCCCUCCGUUUCCUCCUCCUCCUUCUCCCUCUCUUUUGCAUCUCUUCCCAUCUUUUCCCACUUCCCCCUCCCGUUCCCUCCGCCCCCUCCCCGCCCCCGCAGUCUGGUCCUUCCCCUCCCUCCACGCCGG
ensembl:lncRNA